UCUAGUGGGAGGAAGCUUGACUGGAGCUAUGGAUGGUGUGAACGACUGUAGUACAGUGUGAAAGAUUGUGUGUGUGUGUGUGUGUGCGCACACGUGUGUGUGUAGUGUGCACGUGUGUGUGUAGUGUGCAAGGUACAUGUGUGUUUGCACCCAUGUCUCCCUGUGCCUCUAUCUUGAUUCUACUGGAUCAGGUAGGUUGUGUGCCUCCAGCCCCGCCCCACAGGGCCAUCCUCAAAUGAAACGCCAAACAUCUGUGACUUCCCCUUCUUCUGA